GAUGAACGCUAGCUACAGGCUUAACACAUGCAAGUCGAGGGGAAACGACAUCGAAAGCUUGCUUUUGAUGGGCGUCGACCGGCGCACGGGUGAGUAACGCGUAUCCAACCUGCCCACCACUUGGGGAUAACCUUGCGAAAGUAAGACUAAUACCCAAUGAUAUCUCUAGAAGACAUCUGAAAGAGAUUAAAGAUUUAUCGGUGAUGGAUGGGGAUGCGUCUGAUUAGCUUGUUGGCGGGGUAACGGCCCACCAAGGCGACGAUCAGUAGGGGUUCUGAGAGGAAGGUCCCCCACAUUGGAACUGAGACACGGUCCAAACUCCUACGGGAGGCAGCAGUGAGGAAUAUUGGUCAAUGGGCGAGAGCCUGAACCAGCCAAGUAGCGUGCAGGAAGACGGCCCUAUGGGUUGUAAACUGCUUUUAUAAGGGAAUAAAGUGAGUCUCGUGAGACUUUUUGCAUGUACCUUAUGAAUAAGGACCGGCUAACUUCGUGCCAGCCGCCGCAGUAACAC
rnacentral:rRNA from 1 species